GCAAGCGUUGUCCGGAAUCAUGGGGCGUAAAGCGCGCGUAGGCGGCCCUGUAAGUCCGUUGUGAAAGUCAAAGGCUCAACCUUUGAAAGCCGAUGGAUACUGCAGGGCUAGAGUCCGGAAGAGGCGAGUGGAAUUCCUGGUGUAGCGGUGGAAUGCGCAGAUAUCAGGAGGAACACCGGUGGCGAAGGCGGUUCUCUGGGACGGUACUGACGCUGAGACGCGAAAGCGUGGGGAGCGAACAGG
rnacentral:rRNA from 1 species